rnacentral:rRNA from 1 species
AGUGAACGCUGGCGGUAGGCCUAACACAUGCAAGUCGAACGGCAGCACAGUAAGAGCUUGCUCUUACGGGUGGCGAGUGGCGGACGGGUGAGGAAUACAUCGGAAUCUACUUUUUCGUGGGGGAUAACGUAGGGAAACUUACGCUAAUACCGCAUACGACCUACGGGUGAAAGCAGGGGAUCUUCGGACCUUGCGCGAUUGAAUGAGCCGAUGUCGGAUUAGCUAGUUGGCGGGGUAAAGGCCCACCAAGGCGACGAUCCGUAGCUGGUCUGAGAGGAUGAUCAGCCACACUGGAACUGAGACACGGUCCAGGCUCCUACGGGAGGCAGCAGUGGGGAAUAUUGGACAAUGGGCGCAAGCCUGAUCCAGCCAUACCGCGUGGGUGAAGAAGGCCUUCGGGUUGUAAAGCCCUUUUGUUGGGAAAGAAAAGCAGCAGGUUAAUACCCCGCUGUUCUGACGGUACCCAAAGAAUAAGCACCGGCUAAUUCGUG